GGCGGGCCCGCCUUAACUGGCCGCCGGGGGGCUUACGCCCCCGGGCCCGCGCCCGCCGAAGACACCCUCGAACUCUGUCUGAAGAUUGUAGUCUGAGUGAAAAUAUAAAUUAUUUAAAACUUUCAACAACGGAUCUCUUGGUUCCGGCAUCGAUGAAGAACGCAGCGAAAUGCGAUACGUAAUGUGAAUUGCAAAUUCAGUGAAUCAUCGAGUCUUUGAACGCACAUUGCGCCCCCUGGUAUUCCGGGGGGCAUGCCUGUCCGAGCGUCAUUGCUGCCCUCAAGCACGGCUUGUGUGUUGGGCCCCGUCCUCCGAUUCCGGGGGACGGGCCCGAAAGGCAGCGGCGGCACCGCGUCCGGUCCUCGAGCGUAUGGGGCUUUGUCACCCGCUCUGUAGGCCCGGCCGGCGCUUGCCGAUCAACCCAAAUUUUUAUCCAGGUUGACCUCGGAUCAGGUAGGGAUACCCGCUGAACUUAAGCAUAUCAA
rnacentral:rRNA from 1 species